rnacentral:rRNA from 1 species
GACGAACGCUGGCGGCGUGCUUAACACAUGCAAGUCGAACGAAGAGCGAUGGAAGCUUGCUUCUAUCAAUCUUAGUGGCGAACGGGUGAGUAACGCGUAAUCAACCUGCCCUUCAGAGGGGGACAACAGUUGGAAACGACUGCUAAUACCGCAUACGAUCCAAUCUCGGCAUCGGGACUGGAUGAAAGGUGGCCUCUAUUUAUAAGCUAUCACUGAAGGAGGGGAUUGCGUCUGAUUAGCUAGUUGGAGGGGUAACGGCCCACCAAGGCGAUGAUCAGUAGCCGGUCUGAGAGGAUGAACGGCCACAUUGGGACGGAGACACGGCCCAGACUCCUACGGGAGGCAGCAGUGGGGAAUCUUCCGCAAUGGACGAAAGUCUGACGGAGCAACGCCGCGUGAGUGAUGACGGCCUUCGGGUUGUAAAGCUCUGUUAAUCGGGACGAAUGGUUCUUGUGCGAAUAGUGCGAGGAUUUGACGGUACCGGAAUAGAAAGCCACGGCUAACUACGUG